GCGGGCCGCUAGGGGGAGAGAUCAGCACGCGGCACGGCGCCGCGCUCCUCGCGCCUUCGGCCCUCUGCGGCGGAUUGACGCUUUUCCGGAUGCGAAAUCCGAAAGCUAUGAACAGCGUGCGAGCGCCGCGUUCCCCUCCCGUCACCGUCUGAUGGUCGCCGUUCACGCCGCAUCCUUGGCCGAAUGCGAAGCAGAUGCAGGAUUAACUGCCUCCGUCUCCGUGACGACUGUCUCCGUCUCCACGCCGCCGCGUGCCUGGCGGACAGAAGGCCGCCUCGUGAAAAAUUCAAAAGUCCAGCUAGUAACUCGCAACGGUGGUGGCCUGCGGCUGAGAGGAAGCCAAAGAGAGGAGUAUGCGGGGUUAACACACGCAGAGAUGCACCUACACGACGCCGUGGAGCGACUCCUCCCACACAGAGGCACAAACAGCAUUUUCUCAUCGUUAUACUGAGCUUCAUUACAGAAUCCACUUGCGAAGAUGAAAGUUCAUAAAUGGACCCUGGAAAGGAAGUUGAAACAGAUCCAAGCCCCCGCGCCCCCAGUCUGUUUGACGUCCGUUCCAUGAAGCGCCACCUACAGGAGAUGAAAGGCAUUCUGCAUAUUUUGUUUUUAAUUGGUCCGGGUUAAAGGAAAAAUGCUCUUUUUUAUAUCCAAAAGGCACGCAGUGGGCCCACCAGGGGCACAAGGCAGGGAUCCAACGCCAAGGGAUCAGUCAGUUCAAUUUGAAUUAUUUUGCUAUAGCGCCUUUCAAAACAGAAUAACCUUACGGCACUGUACACAGGUGAGUUGUGAUACAUUACUACAUUGUUCAUAUAGAAUUAUAGAUGGAAGAGAGAAAAUGGGAAGACAGAAAGAAAGAAAGCCUGAGGGAUCUGUGCCGGAAAUCAGAAGGUUGCUGGUUUGAAUGCCUGGAGUGAUACUACCCCAUUGGGCUCUAGAGCAAGGCCCUUAAUCUUGACGUUACUCUACAUCCAGCCCUAUAAGGAGGUCGUCGAAGUUACAGGGAAAUGUGAGGAUUAGUGGCGGGAUUGACACUCCAGCCACCUGGAUAAAAAAAAGUCACGCUGGUCCAUUCGGACUAGUGUGGUGCUGAGGUGUCACCUGCCACAUGGCUGCUCUCAGGUUCUCGUCCCUGAGCUGGUUCGUCGUGUGGUGGGUGUGGCAACGCGCUGCAUCAGUGUGCGCUCCUUACCCCUCUCUCUCACUCCUCUUACAGUACUUUAAUGGGGGAACGACCAGUUUGUCAUUGUUGGCUGAAGACAACUCCUCCAGCAGAUUCGGAAGAUAAUGUUCUGCUUUUCACGAAAGCAUUUCCAGAUUACCGCAAUCAAAUCCAACUUCUAGGAAACACGUUGACCUUCUGGAAGAGCACACAGCUGUCACCUCGAACUCUUUCCAUGGCCUCUUGACCACCCUGUAUUUAAAUCAAACUAACUAAGAGAUAAUAAUCAUCAGAAAUCAUCAACUAUGAAUAAAAAUCAUCAACUAUGAAUAAAACAGCCAUCUUAGAUGCAAUACAUCCUA